UCAUACGGCCAUAGGUACAGGGAAACGCCCAAACCCAUUCCGAACUUGGAAGCUAAGCCUGUUCACGACACGAAAUACUUCUUAACUGUGGGAAAGCGUGUUGCCGUCUGAC
rnacentral:rRNA from 1 species